rnacentral:rRNA from 1 species
GAUGAACGCUGGCGGCGUGCCUAAUACAUGCAAGUCGAACGAGUCCUUCGGGACUAGUGGCGAACGGGUGAGUAACACGUUGGUACCUACCCUCUAGUGGGGAAUAACUGGCCGAAAGGUCGGCUAAUACCGCAUAAUACCGCAAGGUUAAAGCAGCAAUGCGCUAGAGGAGGGGCCUGCGUCCCAUUAGCUUGUUGGUAGUGUAAUGGACUACCAAGGCGACGAUGGGUAGCUGGAUCGAGAGGUUGACCAGCCACACUGGGACUGAGAUACGGCCCAGACUCCUACGGGAGGCAGCAGUAAGGAAUCUUCCACAAUGGACGAAAGUCUGAUGGAGCAACGCCGCGUGCAGGAUGACGGCCUUCGGGUUGUAAACUGCUUUUAUAUGGGAAGAUUAUGACGGUACCAUAUGAAUAAGGACCGGCUAACUACGUGCCAGCCGCCGCAGUAAUAC